rnacentral:rRNA from 1 species
AGUCGAGGGGUAUAGUUCUUCGGAACUAGAGACCGGCGCACGGGUGCGUAACGCGUAUGCAAUCUACCUUUUACAGAGGGAUAGCCCAGAGAAAUUUGGAUUAAUACCUCAUAGUAUAAUGACCUGGCAUCAGGAUAUUAUUAAAGUCACAACGGUAAAAGAUGAGCAUGCGUCCCAUUAGCUAGUUGGUAAGGUAACGGCUUACCAAGGCUACGAUGGGUAGGGGUCCUGAGAGGGAGAUCCCCCACACUGGUACUGAGACACGGACCAGACUCCUACGGGAGGCAGCAGUGAGGAAUAUUGGACAAUGGGCGCAAGCCUGAUCCAGCCAUGCCGCGUGCAGGAUGACGGUCCUAUGGAUUGUAAACUGCUUUUAUACGAGAAGAAACACUACUUCGUGAAGUAGCUUGACGGUAUCGUAAGAAUAAGGAUCGGCUAACUCCGUGCCAGCAGCCGCGGUAAUACGGAGGAUCCAAGCGUUAUCCGGAAUCAUUGGGUUUAAAGGGUCCGUAGGCGGUUUAGUAAGUCAGUGGUGAAAGCCCAUCGCUCAACGGUGGAACGGCCAUUGAUACUGCUGAACUUGAAUUAUUAGGAAGUAACUAGAAUAUGUAGUGUAGCGGUGAAAUGCUUAGAGAUUACAUGGAAUACCAAUUGCGAAGGCAGGUUACUACUAAUUGAUUGACGCUGAUGGACGAAAGCGUGGGUAGCGAACAGGAUUAGAUACCCUGGUAGUCCACGCCGUAAACGAUGGAUACUAGCUGUUGGAAGCAAUUUCAGUGGCUAAGCGAAAGUGAUAAGUAUCCCACCUGGGGAGUACGUUCGCAAGAAUGAAACUCAAAGGAAUUGACGGGGGCCCGCACAAGCGGUGGAGCAUGUGGUUUAAUUCGAUGAUACGCGAGGAACCUUACCAAGGCUUAAAUGUAGAUUGACCGGUUUGGAAACAGAUCUUUCGCAAGACAAUUUACAAGGUGCUGCAUGGUUGUCGUCAGCUCGUGCCGUGAGGUGUCAGGUUAAGUCCUAUAACGAGCGCAACCCCUGUUGUUAGUUGCCAGCGAGUCAUGUCGGGAACUCUAACAAGACUGCCAGUGCAAACUGUGAGGAAGGUGGGGAUGACGUCAAAUCAUCACGGCCCUUACGCCUUGGGCUACACACGUGCUACAAUGGCCGGUACAGAGAGCAGCCACUGGGCGACCAGGAGCGAAUCUAUAAAACCGGUCACAGUUCGGAUCGGAGUCUGCAACUCGACU